rnacentral:rRNA from 1 species
UACGUAGGGGGCAAGCGUUGUCCGGAUUUAUUGGGCGUAAAGAGCGUGUAGGCGGCCAGGUAAGUCAGCUGUGAAAACUCGAGGCUCAACCUCGAGACGCCGGUUGAAACCAUCUGGCUAGAGUCCGGAAGAGGAGAGUGGAAUUCCUGGUGUAGUGGUGAAAUGCGCAGAUAUCAGGAAGAACACCCGUGGCUAAGGCGGCUCUCUAGUACGGUACUGACGCUGAGACGCGAAAGCGUGGGGAGCGAACAGG